rnacentral:rRNA from 1 species
CAGCAGCCGCGGUAAUACCGGCAGUUCGAGUGAUGGCCGCUCUUAUUGGGCCUAAAGCGUUCGUAGCUGGCCGAGCAAGUCCGUCGGGAAAUCUGCUCACUUAAUGGGCAGGCGUCCGGCGGAAACUGCUCGGCUUGGGACCGGGAGACUCGAGGGGUACGUUCGGGGUAGGAGUGAAAUCCUAUAAUCCUGAACGGACCACCGAUGGCGAAAGCACCUCGAGAGCACGGAUCCGACAGUGAGGAACGAAAGCUGGGGUCUCGAACCGGAUUAGAUACCCGGGUAGUCCCAGCCGUUAACGAUGCUCGCUAGGUAUGGCGCAGGCUACGAGCCUGCGCUGUGCCGUAGGGAAGCCGAGAAGCGAGCCGCCUGGGAAGUACGUUCGCAAGAAUGAAACUUAAAGGAAUUGGCGGGGGAGCACUACAACCGGAGGAGCCUGCGGUUUAAUUGGACUCAACGCCGGACAUCUCACCAGCACCGACAGUAGGAGUGAAGAUCAGGCUGAUGGUCUUAUCGGACCUACUGAGAGGAGGUGCAUGGCCGCCGUCAGCUCGUACCGUGAGGCAUCCUGUUAAGUCAGGCAACGAGCGAGACCCGUGUCCCUAAUUGCCAGCAGCACCCUUGUGGUGGCUGGGUACAUUAGGGAGACCGCCACGGCUAACGUGGAGGAAGGAACGGGCAACGGUAGGUCAGCAUGCCCCGAAUGUGCUGGGCAACACGCGGGCUACAAUGGCUAUGACAGAGGGUCGCAACCCCGAGAGGGAGUGCUAAUCUCGAAACGUAGUCGUAGUUCGGAUUGCGGACUGAAACUCGUCCGCAUGAAGCUGGAUUCGGUAGUAAUCGCGUGUCAGAAGCGCGCGGUGAAUACGUCCCUGCCCCUUGCACAC